rnacentral:rRNA from 1 species
AUUAAUAAUUAAUAUAUUUAAUAAAAAUAAUUUUAAUUUAAUAAGUAUUUUAAUGGGGGUUAAAGUAUUUUUUAAAGAAAAAAUUUUUAAAUUUAUAGUUAAUUAGUAUUGUGAAAGAAUUUUGAAAUAUUAUGAAAAAUAAAAUUUUUAGAAAGUAAUUUUUAUUUAUUGUAUCUUGUGUAUCAGAGUUUAUUAAAAAUUUUUAAUUUAUGAAUUAAUUUCUCGAAUUUAAAAGAGUUAAAUAAUUAUUAAAGUUAUUGUAGCAAAAUUAUUUUAAAUAAUUAUUUAGAAAUGAAAUGUUAAUCGUUUUUAAAUAUAUCUAGUUUUUAUAGAAAAAAAUUUAAUUUUAAAUUUAAAAAUUAUUUAAUUAAUUUAUUAAUUAAAUAGUUACUUAAAUUUUAUAAUUUAAGGGAUAAGCUUUAAAUUAAAUUUUUAUAAUAUUAAAUUUUUAUUUUGAAAAUUUUAUAAUUUAUAUUGUUAAUAAAUUUUAUUUUGUUAUAAAUAAUUUCAUUUUUUUUAAAAUUUAAAUUUUAUUUAAUUUUUUAUAUAAAAUUUAUUUAUAAUUAUAUAAAGUUAAUUAUAAUGAUAAAAUUAGUAUAUUAUUUAAUAUUAAAUUGAAAUUAAUUUUUGAUUAAUAAUUAAAUUAAUUAAAAGGAAUUCGGCAAAUAUUUAUUUUCACUUGUUUAUCAAAAACAUGUCUUUUUGUUAUUUAAUUUAAAGUCUAAUCUGCCCACUGAUUUAUAAAAAUUGAAGGGCUGCAGUAUAUUGACUGUACAAAGGUAGCAUAAUCAUUAGUCUCUUAAUUGGUGACUUGUAUGAAAGAUUGGAUGAAAAAU